UACGGAGGGGGCUAGCGUUGUUCGGAAUUACUGGCGUAAAGCGCGCGUAGGCGGACCUGCAAGUCGGGGGUGAAAGCCCGAGGCUCAACCUCGGAACUGCCUUCGAUACUGCGGGUCUCGAGUCCGGGAGAGGUGAGUGGAAUUCCUAGUGUAGAGGUGAAAUUCGUAGAUAUUAGGAAGAACACCAGUGGCGAAGGCGGCUCACUGGCCCGGUACUGACGCUGAGGCGCGAAAGCGUGGGGAGCAAACAGGG
rnacentral:rRNA from 1 species